UACGUAGGGGGCAAGCGUUGUCCGGAAUCAUUGGGCGUAAAGAGCUCGUAGGCGGCUCAGUAAGUCGGGUGUGAAACCUCCAGGCUCAACCUGGAGACGUCACCCGAUACUGCUGUGGCUAGAGUCCAGUAGGGGAGUGUGGAAUUCCCGGUGUAGCGGUGAAAUGCGCAGAUAUCGGGAGGAACACCAGCGGCGAAGGCGGCACUCUGGGCUGGUACUGACGCUGAGACGCGAAAGCGUGGGGAGCGAACAGG
rnacentral:rRNA from 1 species